AACGAACGCUGGCGGCGUGCCUAACACAUGCAAGUCGUGCGAGAAAGUCUCCUUCGGGAGGCGAGUAAAGCGGCGCACGGGUGAGUAACACGUGGGUAACCUGCCUUUGAGACUGGGACAACCCAGGGAAACCCGGGCUAAUACCAGAUACGGCCUCGGGAUCUUCGGAUCCUGAGGCGAAAUGAUGGCCUAUGCUUGCAAGCCAUCGCUCGAAGAUGGGCCCGCGGCCCAUUAGCUAGUUGGUGAGGUAACGGCUCACCAAGGCAAUGAUGGGGUAGCUGGUCUGAGAGGAUGAUCAGCCACACUGGCACUGCGACAC
rnacentral:rRNA from 1 species